rnacentral:misc_RNA from 1 species
ACAGCACCUAGGUCAUUAUUUUAUACGCAUCCUUUUUAUGUUUGUCAAAGCAACUCUGUAGUUAAAGCCUUCAACAUACACAUCAGUAUCAAAACAAAAGCCUUUCAUGCUAUUGCUACCACAAAAUAUUGACUAGUUGAUGCAAUCAAGGAAGUCAAAGACAAUUUCAUUUAGGAAUCACCAUAAUCAUCUUCUUUAGGAAUUCUAUUAGGUUUGUUAUUAUUUA